UAGCAGGCACAUUUAAUAAUUUUCUAAUCUUCAGAUGCAUCUAUGCAUGAAACAAUUUUUACAUGGAAAGGCAGUUACCAUCAGCCUUCAUCAUUCACUGUACUUGUAUGGUUAAAACCUAAAUGCUCGGCAAUGUGCAGAUGUACUUAUUGCUCACAGGCUUGAUGAAUCUUUCUCCUCACCUGCAUGUUUUGCUUAAAAAAAUGCUUGCACAGAACACUUGACAUUCAUGAAUGUUGGAUCUUUAAAAGAUGGCAUUGUACCUUUGCAGUUGAUGCAAGAUGAAGGGUUGUGUGCCAUAGAGGGAUUUCCAGGAGUUUUAGUUUUUCAGGUUUAAAUAGUUUCACCUAAUUUGCAAUUUAUUUACAUAAGAGAUCACUUGUUGGUAUUAUUAUUUCAGGGCAACUUGCUUAGGGAUGCAGCUUCAGUUAGUUCAGCUAUAUGAACAUGCUGAGGGGACAUGUAUACUGAGUGCCAUCAAGUUCAGAACCAAACUUUGAUGCUGCUGGUUCAUUCUCUUGAUGAAACCUAUCUUUUGUUGUUUCUGUUCCAUUUUGUUGUCUUGAGCCUGUAACUAGUUCUGAUACAUGGAAAAAAUUGUAUGUGAUCCAUUAUUUUGGUGUCAUGCUGGAUGCAAACAUUAUUGAUAUGAGGUUAUAAUUGGGGCUGUAA